GUUGGUGUGACGGCGUGCCUUUUGAAGAAUGAGCCUGCGAGUUAGUGAUAUGUGGCGAGGUUAACCCGUGUGGGGCAGCCGUAGCGAAAGCGAGUCUGAAUAGGGCGAUUCAGUCGCAUGUCCUAGACCCGAAGCGAAGUGAUCUAUCCAUGGCCAGGUUGAAGCGACGGUAAGACGUCGUGGAGGACCGAACCCACUUCAGUUGAAAAUGGAGGGGAUGAGCUGUGGAUAGGGGUGAAAGGCCAAUCAAACUUCGUGAUAGCUGGUUCUCUCCGAAAUGCAUUUAGGUGCAGCGUUGCGUGUUUCUCGCCGGAGGUAGAGCUACUGGAUGGCCGAUGGGCCUCAACAGGUUACUGACGUCAGCCAAACUCCGAAUGCCGGUGAGUGAGAGCGCAGCAGUGAGACGGUGGGGGAUAAGCUUCAUCGUCGAGAGGGAAACAACCCAGACUACCAACUAAGGCCCCUAAGCGUGUGCUAAGUGGGAAAGGAUGUGGAGUUGCAUAGACAACCAGGAGGUUGGCUUAGAAGCAGCCACCCUUGAAAGAGUGCGUAAUAGCUCACUGGUCAAGUGAUUCCGCGCCGACAAUGUAACGGGGCUCAAGCACACCGCCGAAGUUGUAGAUUUCGCACUAUAGACAAGCCUUCGUGGUUCAGUCGUGCGGAGUGGUAGGAGAGCGUCGUGUGGCGAGUGAAGCGGCGGAGUGAUCCAGCCGUGGACGCUACACGAGUGAGAAUGCAGGCAUGAGUAGCGAAAGACGGGUGAGAAACCCGUCCUCCGAAAGACCAAGGGUUCCAGGGCCAGGUUAAUCCGCCCUGGGUAAGUCGGGACCUAAGGCGAGGCCGACAGGCGUAGUCGAUGGACAACGGGUUGAUAUUCCCGUACCGGCGAACAACCGCCCAAGCUAAUCCAGUGGUGCUAAGAGUCCUAACCCGGAUCAACCGGAUCCCUUCGGGGUGAUGGUGGCCGGUCUAACGCUCGACCCCAUGCUGGUGCGGUUAGCGUAUGAACAGGUGUGACGCAGGAAGGUAGCUGAGCCAGGCGAUGGUAUCCGUA
rnacentral:rRNA from 1 species